rnacentral:rRNA from 1 species
AGUGAACGCUGGCGGUAGGCCUAACACAUGCAAGUCGAACGGCAGCACAGUAAGAGCUUGCUCUUACGGGUGGCGAGUGGCGGACGGGUGAGGAAUACAUCGGAAUCUACUUUUUCGUGGGGGAUAACGUAGGGAAACUUACGCUAAUACCGCAUACGACCUACGGGUGAAAGCAGGGGAUCUUCGGACCUUUCGCGAUUGAAUGAGCCGAUGUCGGAUUAGCUAGUUGGGGGGGUAAAGGCCCACCAAGGCGACGAUCCGUAGCUGGUCUGAGAGGAUGAUCAGCCACACUGGAACUGAGACACGGUCCAGACUCCUACGGGAGGCAGCAGUGGGGAAUAUUGGGCAAUGGGCGCAAGCCUGAUCCAGCCAUACCGCGUGGGUGAAGAAGGCCUUCGGGUUGUAAAGCCCUUUUGUUGGGAAAGAACAGCAGCAGGUUAAUACCCCGCUGUUCUGACGGUACCCAAAGAAUAAGCACCGGCUAACUUCGUG